AUGGUAAAGCAACAUCGCUGAAACAUGUUUAUCGAGGCAGUGCAUUGUUAGGUCCAUCCAAAGUUGUAUACAUGUAAAGUGCUUUCUGUUUGCAAAACAAAAGCUAAAUCUGAUUCAUAGAUUUCAUAGACUGGAGAAAUGAAUUAAGGGUCAAAAGCUUUGAUGCAAAGGUCAAAUCAUUGAGAGAAAGAAAGGAAACGGGAGGCUGACAUGGAAACAGAAAAUCAGUGAAGGAAGACGAAGCUCUUGAUACAAAGCUGCACACAGCAAAGCUCAACAAGACAGAGUACAAGUUGUGAGCUUCUCUGAAGGACUCAAAGAAAGAUAUACAAAGAACAUUGGAGAGAAGUACGGAGUUAUUUACUCGGAGGCUGAGAUAAUUACUAAAUGCAAAGAGCCUAUUAUAAACUAAGGGAGGAUGUCACCCCAGGUAUCAUUCCCUGAUUACCACUAUACGAAACCUGAUGCAUGCCAGAAGGCUGAGAGGACAACAAGGUGAAGCGGUGUGUCAGAUGAGAGGUAUGUUUCGUAUAGCCAUUGACAGAGUGGGUCGGAUCAGAAGUCAUAACCAGUUGCCGGAAUGUUUUGCAUUUACAUUACUUAAUUUCUUACAUCAUCAUUGAAUGAGAUAAGAAGUUAAACCUACCUGCUUUUUUCUUCUACAUUUUAAGUUUGUACUUUUUCUUGACGUACAAGCCAAAUUGGAAGAGUAGAAGUGGACGUUGUUAAUUCUUUGGUAGAAUCUCAGGUGUGUAUGUUUAGUUUGAAGGUUAGAUUCAGUUGCAUCUCUGUGCCAUAUUUUUGUCGUAGUUGGUGAAGUUGAAGUUCUUGGUGGAACAAUAUGAAGAAGCAGAUUAUGGAGGAGUCUGAGAAUUUGUGUUUCAUGAAGUCACUGAGACCUCCUCCUCCACAGCUUCCGCCAUCUCUGGGAUAUUGAUCAAGAAAGAUCGAGGGAGACAGCAUAACCAAUACACAGAUCAAGAAGUUCUGGACGCAGAAAAACAUCAUUGAAGAGGGGCAUCUCUUUGCUGCUGUUAAAGCUGCCGCUCGUGUCAGAGCCUGUAAUCUCUCUUUUUGUCCUUUUGGUUUCGAGGGAUUUUAGAUCAUUGAAGAGCAAAAUCAAUAUUUUUGAAGAGAAUUUUUAUAAUCUCAUGCUUCUCACUUUUAGAGAGACUCUUUAGAACAAACUAAUUACGAAGCUCGAUGAUCAUAUCUAUGGGUUUGGAGAUUCAAACUCUUAUAUA